rnacentral:rRNA from 1 species
GAUAAACGCUGGCGGCAUGCCUAAUACAUGCAAGUCGAACGAGAUUUAGCUGAAGAGCAAACAGAAGCUAAUGAAAGUGGCGGACGGGUGAGUAACGCGUGAACAAUCUACCUUGUGCAGGGGAAUAGCCCUGAGAAAUUAGGAAUAAAACCUCAUAAGACCACAGUAUCGCAUGAUACAGGGGUAAAAUCUACGGAGGCGCAAGAAGAGUUCGCGUCUGAUUAGCUAGUUGGGGAGGUAACGGCCCACCAAGGCGACGAUCAGUAGCCGGCCUGAGAGGGUGUACGGCCACAUUGGAACUGAGAAACGGUCCAAACUCCUACGGGAGGCAGCAGUAGGGAAUAUUGCACAAUGGGGGGAACCCUGAUGCAGCAAUGCCGCGUGAAGGAAGAAGGGUUUCGGCUCGUAAACUUCUAUCGAUGGGGAAGAAAGAAAUGACGGUACCCAAGUAAGAAGCCCCGGCUAACUAUGUGCCAGCCGCCGCGGUAA